UCAGCCGGUACUCGCCGAAUGCANCUAGAUUUUAGUUUGAUCAUGGCUCAGAUUNAACGCUGGUUACGGCAGAUGCCUAACACAUGCAAGUCGAGCGGAUGCAUGGGGAGCNUGCUCCCGGCAUUCAGUCGGCGAGACGGGUGAGGUAAUGCCUAGGAAAUCAUGCCUGGUUAGCUGGGUGGGAACUAACGAAUUAUCGUAAAAGGGAAACGACUUAACUGACCUGAUCAUUACUGCUCUCUGUACGAAGGAGCAAAGAGCUGAGAGGAGAACUCAGUAUCGAGCGGCCCUUGGCGUCCUUAA
rnacentral:rRNA from 1 species